ACUGAGACACAUUGAAAGGUGACUUUUUCUCAUAAGAUUCCAUGCUCAAAGGUACCAUCUUUUCACGGUUGCUUUUCCUGGUUGCAAACUAAGCUUGAAUGCAAGAGCGCCACGGUAAGUGCACUUGGUGAUUGGUUAAGUGCAUAUUCAAGAAGACUUAAAGAGAUGCAUUCUUAAAAGGCAUGAGCGAUAACUAAAGCCAGAGCAGAGUACACCAUGAUGGACAAUAUCACUUUAGGGAACUCGUUACAGCAACAUAACAUCUGCUUGCAUGCAUGCCAGAAGCACGACAGAAGCAUGCAUGCGAGUGUGGCCCAAUGGUUUGAGCGCUUGGCUGCUGUGCUUGAUGGCAGAAGUUUGAUUCCCACAUCGGUGAGGCAAGAACUUACCUACUGCAAAGUGCCAAGAAUGAAGCAAGGAAUGCUUCGCAUUAAAACACAGCCUUACUGAAGUCAGUGUUUGUGGUGUGUGCGCCUUCUUGCUUUGGACCAUCUGAUUUUGUGCUCGCAGCUAUAAUUAGGCAACCGCCUUAACAGAUUUUUGUGCUACUGUAAUGUGGCCAGUGACAUGAAAAAAAGAAGGUGCAAGACACAAAACGGUAUCUGAACGCAUUUAUUUUUGCACAGUUAAUGCUCUCUGCACUUGUAUUAUCCCACGACACAGAUUAACUAUUCAAUCAAUGUUAUUUACAAAGCAAGAAAAAAAAAGGGGCAGGAAAAAGAAAAA
rnacentral:lncRNA from 1 species